CCUACGGGUGACAGUAGUGGGGAAUAUUGGGCAAUGGGCGCAAGCCUGACCCAGCAACGUCGCGUGAAGGAAGAAGGCUCUCGGGUUGUAAACUUCUUUUCUCAGGGACGAAGAAAGUGACGGUACCUGAGGAAUAAGCCACGGCUAACUACGUGCCAGCAGCCGCGGUAAUCCGUAGGUCGCAAGCGUUAUCCGGAUUUAAUGGGUGGAAAGGGCGUGUAGGCGGGAGCGCAAGUCAGAUGUGAAAACUCAGGGAUCAACCCUGAGCCUGCAGUUGAAACUGUGGUUCUUGAGUGCUGGAGAGGCAUGCGGAAUUCGGGGUGUAGCGGUGAAAUGCGUAGAUAUACGGAGGAACACCAGUUGCGAAGGCGGAUUGCUGGACAGUAACUGACGCUGAGGCGCGAAAGCGUGGGUAUCAAACAGGAUUAGAUACCCUUGUAGUC
rnacentral:rRNA from 1 species